rnacentral:rRNA from 1 species
UACGUAGGGGGCAAGCGUUGUCCGGAUUUAUUGGGCGUAAAGCGCGUGUAGGUGGCCAAGUAGGUCCGCUGUGAAAACUUGAGGCUCAACCUCAAGCUGUCGGUGGAAACCGACUGGCUAGAGUCCGGAAGAGGAGAGUGGAAUUCCCGGUGUAGCGGUGAAAUGCGCAGAUAUCGGGAAGAACACCCGUGGCUAAGGCGGCUCUCUAGUACGGUACUGACGCUGAGACGCGAAAGCGUGGGGAGCGAACAGG